ACAAUCAGUCACUGCACAAUCCUCAGAUGACAAGAAGAAUACAAAAAUCCCAGACAGACUCGUGAUGACUCUUGGGGACAUGAAGCUUCUCUGCAGCCUCUGUUUGGUUGCCGGUGUUGUGACUCAACAUGUCACGUAUCCUGAUCCGCUGUGCGCCGUCAAAGGAUCCACACUCACCCUCGGCUGCACCUUCAAACCCAGAGCCUUGUUGAGAAACUUGGAAGGAUCAAAAGGUUUUUGGCUAAUCAACCGAGUUGUCUGGUGCCAGAAUCACGAGAUCUGCCAUGGCUCCACCCCAUCUGUUUACGACAGCAGGUCCCAGCGUAACAACCCCAAGUACCAUUACCUUGGAAACAUGAAGGACAACUGCACCUUACAGAUACAAGACAUCGCGGUCACAGACAGCGCGGUUUACCGCUUCAGAAUGGAAGCUGAUCAUGUCGAUGGCCAUUUCACUGGACGAUCUGGGGUUACGGUCAGCGUCAUUGAAAAGCAGAAGGAUGUGAUGGUGAUCGUCGCUGUGACGGCGGGUGUCCUGCUGCCUGUGGUCCUGCUCAUCGUGGCCGUCAUCAUCAUCAAACGGAAACACACAGCGGCGGCAAGUAAACCCCACAGAAUUGUGGGGAAAAUGGAAGAGAAAAAGUCUUCACUCUUUUCAGCAUCUCGAGCACAUCUAUGGCAACAUGGAGCAGCCCGGCCGGCAGGAAGAGCCGGCACACCAGCAUGAAGCCGGUCAGGCUGUAGAGAAUGUGAGCUACGCCUGUGUCCAGUUCAGACCCAAUACAGAAUCCAGACAAAAGAUGGAGCCGAAUGAUGUUGUCUACACCUCAGUAGCCAGCAAAGGAUGACAUCAUCACGACCUCUUUCAGACCCAUAUGAUGUCAUAAAUCAGUGGUUCCCAAAGUGUUGGCCAUAAUCCACUAGUGGGCUCUGAAGGUACUGCAAAUGAGAGACCAUUAAAUAUGAAGAAAGAAACAUGUUAAAAUUUGUAAUAAAGUUUAAACUUCAAAAAA